GUCUGUGGCCAUACCACCCUGAAUGUGCCUGAUCUCACCUGAUCUCAGAAGCUAAGCAGGGUCAGGCCUGGUUAGCACUUGAUGAGCAGAAAUGGUACUCCUUUAUUCUUAGCUAAUAUUCUAGGGUUGUAUAUA
rnacentral:rRNA from 1 species